rfam:Glycine soja cultivar W05 scaffold5263_5, whole genome shotgun sequence.
AAAAAAGCAGGGGCAUGUUUCCUGUGUGAGCAGGCCUCUCGUAACCUUCAGGGAUAUAAUAACUUACAGAAAGCAAGCAUGCAAAAAGUG